rnacentral:rRNA from 1 species
CAGUUCGGACUGGAGUCUGCAACCCGACUCCACGAAGCUGGAUUCGCUAGUAAUCGCGCAUCAGCCACGGCGCGGUGAAUACGUUCCCGGGCCUUGUACACACCGCCCGUCAAGCCAUGGGAGCCGGGGGUACCUGAAGUGCGUAACCGCGAGGAUCGCCCUAGGGUAAAACUGGUGACUGGGGCUAAGUCGUAACAAGGUACC